UUUAUAAUGUAUAACACACUGUAUAAUAUAUUUAUAUAAUACAAUAUAUUCUGGUGUAUGUGUUUUUUUUUUCAUCUUCAGAAUCCAUUAGCACUCGCUAUAUAGUGCAAAAUAUUAUUGGAGAAGGAGGCUAUGGCAAAGUGUAUGAGGGAAUCCGUAUUUCCGAUGGCAAAAAGGUUGCCAUCAAACGUAUUAAAAAAACUGUACGGGAUCAUUAUCUUCAAACUACUGUACAUCCCAAACCUC
ensembl:lncRNA